rnacentral:rRNA from 1 species
GACAGAGGUGCCGAGCGUUAGGCGGAAUCACUGGGCUUAAAGCGUGUGUAGGCGGAUGGGUAAGUACCUUGUGAAAUCCCACGGCUCAACCGUGGAACUGCUCGGUAUAUUGCUCGUCUUGAGCCAACUAGGGGCGACCGGAACAAACGGUGGAGCGGUGAAAUGCGUAGAUAUCGUUUGGAACGCCGAUGGUGAAAACAGGUCGCUGGGGUUGUGCUGACGCUGAGACACGAAAGCCAGGGGAGCGAACGGG